rnacentral:rRNA from 1 species
GUUGGUGGGGUAAAGGCUCACCAAGACGAUGAUGCAUAGCCGAGUUGAGAGACUGACCGGCCACAUUGGGACUGAGACACGGCCCAAACUCCUACGGGAGGCUGCAGUAGGGAAUCUUCCACAAUGGGCGCAAGCCUGAUGGAGCAACGCCGCGUGUGUGAUGAAGGCUUUCGGGUCGUAAAGCACUGUUGUAUGGGAAGAAUGGUAAGGGUAGGAAAUGAUCUUUACGUGACGGUACCAUACCAGAAAGGGACGGCUAAAUACGUGCCAGCAGCCGCGGUAAUACGUAUGUCCCGAGCGUUAUCCGGAUUUAUUGGGCGUAAAGCGAGCGCAGACGGUUUGAUAAGUCUGAAGUGAAAGCCCACAGCUCAACUGUGGAAGUGCUUUGGAAACUGUCAAACUUGAGUGCAGUAGAGGUAAGUGGAACUCCAUGUGUAGCGGUGGAAUGCGUAGAUAUAUGGAAGAACACCAGUGGCGAAGGCGGCUUACUGGACUGCAACUGACGUUGAGGCUCGAAAGUGUGGGUAGCAAACAGGAUUAGAUACCCUGGUAGUCCACACCGUAAACGAUGAACACUAGGUGUUAGGGGGUUUCCGCCCCUUAGUGCCGAAGCUAACGCAUUAAGUGUUCCGCCUGGGGAGUACGACCGCAAGGUUGAAACUCAAAGGAAUUGACGGGGACCCGCACAAGCGGUGGAGCAUGUGGUUUAAUUCGAAGCAACGCGAAGAACCUUACCAGGUCUUGACAUCCUUUGAAGGUACAAGAGAUUGUGCUGUUUUCUUCGGAAACAAAGUGACAGGUGGUGCAUGGCCGUCGUCAGCUCGUGUCGUGAGAUGUUGGGUUAAGUCCCGCAACGAGCGCAACCCUUAUGUUUAGUUGCCAGCAUUCAGUUGGGCACUCUAGACAGACUGCCGGUGACAAACCGGAGGAAGGCGGGGACGACGUCAGGUCAUCAUGCCCCUUAUGACCUGGGCUACACACGUGCUACAAUGGCGUAUACAACGAGCAGCGAACUCGCGAGGGUAAGCGAAUCUCUUAAAGUACGUCUCAGUUCGGAUUGUAGUCUGCAACUCGACUACAUGAAGUCGGAAUCGCUAGUAAUCGCGGAUCAGCAUGCCGCGGUGAAUACGUUCCCGGGUCUUGUACACACCGCCCGUCACACCAUGGGAGUUUGU